rnacentral:rRNA from 1 species
AUUGAACGCUGGCGGCAGGCCUAACACAUGCAAGUCGAGCGGGGUUUUCGGACCUAGCGGCGGACGGGUGAGUAAUGCGUAGGAAGCUGCCCGAUAGAGGGGGAUACCAGUUGGAAACGACUGUUAAUACCGCAUAAUGUCUACGGACCAAAGUGUGGGACCUUCGGGCCACAUGCUAUCGGAUGCGCCUACGUGGGAUUAGCUAGUUGGUGAGGUAAUGGCUCACCAAGGCGACGAUUUCUAGCGGGUUUGAGAGGAUGAUAAGCCACACUGGGACUGAGACACGGGUCAGACCCCUACGGGAUGCAGAAGUGGGGAAUAUUGUACAAUGGGCGCAAGCCUGAUCCAGCCGUGCCGCGUGUGUGAAGAAGGCCUUCGGGUUGUAAAGCACUUUCAGCGAGGAGGAAGGGGUGUGUGUUAAUAGUACACACCUUUGACGUUACUCGCAGAAGAAGCACCGGCUAACUCUGUGCCAGCCGCCGCCGUAACAC